GAUGAAGAACGCAGCGAAAUGCGAUAAGUAAUGCGAAUUGCAGAAUUCCAGUGAGUCAUCGAAUCUUUGAACGCACAUUGCGCCCGCCAGUAUUCUGGCGGGCAUGCCUGUUCGAGCGUCAUUACAACCCUCAGGCCCCCGGGCCUGGCGUUGGGGAUCGGCGGAAGCCCCCUGCGGGCACAACGCCGUCCCCCAAAUACAGUGGCGGUCCCGCCGCAGCUUCCAUUGCGUAGUAGCUAACACCUCGCAACUGGAGAGCGGCGCGGCCACGCCGUAAAACACCCAACUUCUGAAUGUUGACCUCGAAUCAGGUAGGAAUACCCGCUGAACUUAAGCAUAUCAAUAAGGGAGGA
rnacentral:misc_RNA from 1 species